rnacentral:rRNA from 1 species
GAUGAACGCUGGCGGCGUGCCUAAUACAUGCAAGUCGAGCGAACAGACGAGGAGCUUGCUCCUCUGACGUUAGCGGCGGACGGGUGAGUAACACGUGGAUAACCUACCUAUAAGACUGGGAUAACUUCGGGAAACCGGAGCUAAUACCGGAUAAUAUAUUGAACCGCAUGGUUCAAUAGUGAAAGACGGUUUUGCUGUCACUUAUAGAUGGAUCCGCGCCGCAUUAGCUAGUUGGUAAGGUAACGGCUUACCAAGGCGACGAUGCGUAGCCGACCUGAGAGGGUGAUCGGCCACACUGGAACUGAGACACGGUCCAGACUACUACGGGAGGCAGCAGUAGGGAAUCUUCCGCAAUGGGCGAAGGCCUGACGGAGCAAAGCCGCGUGAGUGAUGAAGGUCUUCGGAUCGUAAAACUCUGUUAUUAGGGAAGAACAAAUGUGUAAGUAACUAUGCACGUCUUGACGGUACCUAAUCAGAAAGCCACGGCUAACUACGUG